AGGUCCGGCUGGGGAGCGGAACGGCAUGGGAGGGCCGGCCGCAGCGGGUGACAGCCCCGUACGCGAACCCAGACCGGACGGCGCGACGCGGUCCCUGAGUAGGGCCGGGCACGUGAAACCCGGUCCGAACCUGGGUGGACCACCAUCCAAGCCUGAGUACUACCCUGUGACCGAUAGCGCACCAGUACCGUGAGGGAAAGGUGAAAAGCACCCCGGGAGGGGAGUGAAACAGUACCUGAAACCGUGCGCCCACGAGCAGUCGGAGCACCUUUAUGGUGUGACGGCGUGCCUUUUGUAGAAUGAGCCAGCGAGUCGCUGGCGCGGGGCGAGGUUAACCGAAAGGGAGCCGGAGCGAAAGCGAGCCUUAACAGGGCGACUUGAGUCCCGCGCCGCGGACGCGAAGCCGGGUGAGCUAUCCGUGGGCAGGCUGAAGCGGGGGUAAGACCCCGUGGAGGGCCGAACGCACGUCGGUUGAAAACGGCGGCGAUGACCUGCGGAUAGGGGUGAAAGGCCAAUCAAACCCGGAGAUAUCUCGUUCUCCCCGAAAUAGCUUUAGGGCUAGCGUCGCGCGUUCACCGCCGGAGGUAGAGCACCGGAUGGACGAGGGGGCUUCGCCGCCUACCGAAUCCAACCGAACUCCGAAUGCCGGCGGCCCAGAGCGCGGCAGUCAGAGCAUGUGGGCUAAGCUGUGUGCUCGAGAGGGAAACAGCCCGGACCGCCCGCUAAGGUCCCCAAGUUCCAGCCGAGUGGCAAAGGAUGUGCGUCCGCCCAGACAACCAGGAUGUUGGCUUAGAAGCAGCCAUCCAUUCAAAGAGUGCGUAACAGCUCACUGGUCGAGUGGACAUGCGCCGACAAUACACGGGGCUAAGCUGGACACCGAAGCGGCGGGAUUUUAAUUCAUUAGAAUCGGUAGGGGAGCUUCCCAUGGGCGGAGAAGCCGGAGGGCGACCGACGGUGGAGCGCAUGGGAGUGAGAAUGCUGGCAUGAGUAGCGAGAGACGAGAGAGUAACUCGUCCGCCGUGAACCCGAGGUUUCCUGGGCAAGGCUAAUCCUCCCAGGGUCAGUCGGGGGCUAAGGCGAGGCCGGUAGGCGUAGCCGACGCGCAGCAGGCAGACAUUCCUGCACCGCGCACGCGGCGCUACGACCGACGGGGCGACGGAUGGGGGUGGCUCGGCGGGGUUCUGGACGUCCCCGUGAUGGAGCGCGGCCCGCGGACCAGGGAAAUCCGGUCCGCAUAAGGGCGAGGCUCCGGACGAAGCGACUGAGCGAAGCGAGUGAGCCCGAGGUCCCUAGAAAAACCCCUAGGCAGGCGCGUGCGCGCCCGUACCGCAAACCGACACAGGUGGGUGGGUAGAACAUACCGAGGCGAUCGGGUCAACCAUGGUCAAGGAACUCGGCACAAUGGCCCCGUAACUUCGGGAGAAGGGGUGCCCGCGCGUACGUGAACGGACUUGCUCCGGGAGCGGAGGCGGGCCGCAGUGGAGAGGCCCAAGCGACUGUUUACCAAAAACACAGGACUCUGCAGAAGCCGCAAGGCGACGUAUAGGGUCUGACGCCUGCCCGGUGCCGGAAGGUCACGCGGAGGAGUUAGCCGAUUCGGCGAAGCCCCGAAGCCAAGCCCCGGUAAACGGCGGCCGUAACUAUAACGGUCCUAAGGUAGCGAAAUUCCUUGUCGGGUAAGUUCCGACCUGCACGAAAGGCGCAACGACUUGGGCGCUGUCUCGACCAUGGACCCGGUGAAAUUGCACUGGUCGUGAAGAUGCGACUUACCCGCGGAAGGACGGAAAGACCCCGUGAACCUUCACUGCAGCUUGGCAUUGGCCGCUGGUCCCGCGUGUAGAGGAUAGGCAGGAGGCAUCGAUCCGGAGGCGCCAGCCCCCGGGGAGCCGCCCUUGGAAUACUGCCCUCGCGCGACCGGCGUCCUAACCCGAGGCCGUCAACCGGCUCGGGGACCGUGCCAGGCGGGCAGUUUGACUGGGGCGGUCGCCUCCUAAAGGGUAACGGAGGCGCGCGAAGGUCCGCUCGGGACGGUCGGCAACCGUCCUUUUGAAUGCAAGAGUACAAGCGGGCUUGACUGCGAGGCCCACAAGCCGAGCAGGUGCGAAAGCAGGCUCUAGUGAUCCGGCGGCCCCGAGUGGGUGGGCCGUCGCUCAACGGAUAAAAGGUACUCCGGGGAU
rnacentral:rRNA from 1 species